CGUUUUGCUGAUGGCGACCGGCGCACGGGUGAGUAACGCGUACGCGACCUACCUUCAAGAGGGGGAUAGCCCUGGGAAACCGGGAUUAAUACCCCAUGUGGUCACCGGAAUACCUGUUUUGGUGAUUAAAGCCUUCGGGUGCUUGAAGAUGGGCGUGCGUCCUAUUAGGUAGUUGGUGAGGUAACGGCUCACCAAGCCAUCGAUAGGUAGGGGGCGUGAGAGCGUGACCCCCCACACGGGUACUGAGACACGGACCCG
rnacentral:rRNA from 1 species